GUGUCAGCAGCCGCGGUAAAACGUAGGAGGCAAGCGUUAUCCGGAGUUACUGGGCGUAAAGCGCGUGUAGGUGGGUUGGUAAGUUACCUAUAAAAGCUCCUGGCUAAACUAGGAGAGGUUGGGUGAUACUGCCAGUCUUGAAUCGAGGAGAGGUUGACGGAAUUCCGCGUGUAGUGGUGAAAUGCGUAGAGAUGCGGAAGAACACCAGUGGCGAAGGCGGUCAACUGGCCUCAGAUUGACACUCAGACGCGAAAGCAUGGGUAGCGAACGGGAUUAGAAACCCCCGUAGUCC
rnacentral:rRNA from 1 species